GGCUCAGAGUUGAAGAUGACCUAGAUCAUGCGUCAACAAACUAUGGCCUGAGGGCCAAAGCCAGCGCACCACCCGUUUUUGUACAGCCCAUGGGUUAAGAAGAGUUUUCAAAAUUUUAAACAGCAGUCUCCCCUUAUCCAUGGUUUCACCUUCUGUGGUUUCAGUUACUUGCAGUCAACCAUGGCCCAAAAAUAGCUACGAUCAGUGACCAUGGACUCAUAAGGCUUUUGUUUAAGAAUUGCCUAAGAUGUUCUUCAGAUCCUGAAUUCCAGCAGAAAAGCUAAUGCCAACCAGUUUGAAAACAACCACAGAGGAAUCGAAUCAGCACGAGAAUGCAGUUUCUUCAUUUCCCUGUCCCAUGACUUUACUCUGCACUCUUUGACCAAUCAAUAAUCCUGAACCUUGGCCCACUUCAAACCCCUUGAAAUCUCUAGCUCCAACUCCCUGGAGGGGUGGAUUUGAGGUUUCCUCCUGUUUCCUUGUUUGGCUGCCGUAUGAUUAUUAAACUCUUUCUUUGCUGCAA